UCAGGGCCCAGCAGCCCGACGGGGGCCCGCACCCCGGCUCCCCCAGGGCCUCCAGCCCUUUGUCAAAGGCUCGGGGUGCCCAGCAAGGCGUCGCGCUGCCCUGGACGCCUGCCGCGGGUCGCACCGGCCCCGAGGCCUUAACGGGAAAGAAUUUUGCACGGGCAAAGCCCCAUGAACACAGAAGUCCUGCAGCUGGAGGGAGGCGGACAACGCUUGGAGGUUAGUGUACGAGGGGUUGUGCGUGAACGUGUAGUCGGAAAAAAGGAGGAGACCACGCCCCUCUAUCCCUACUGGCAGUGGCUGGGCUGUCAGUAGGGUCCUGUUCCCACAGAAUGAGAUUCCCGGCCUUUCCCCACCUCCACCCCUGCUCCCACUCUAGCCCCCAGCAUCUAGCAUCCACGCACCUCAGCUGCUCUCUGCAACUGCUCCUGGCUCAAAAGAAGACUGGCAGCUGGAGGGUGCUCAGGCUAGAUCCCUGGCCUCAAAAACCACCAGGCAAUAAGCCCCACCACUAAGAUAUCCCUCUUAAAAGCAACUGGGCAGCCCAGGAUCACCAAACACCUAAGAAGGAGGAAAGAAACAAAAACAAAAAGAAAAGGGAUACGGAGGAGCUGAGACAAUAAAGCAAGAAGAAAAGCUAAAGCCAUAUCCUCAGAGAUGCUAAUGAGAGGAUGUUGCACCCAAAACCAAAACAUUCAAUGUAUUGUACACGUGAAACGUAUAUAACACUGUGUGUUAACUAACUGGAAGUAAAAACUUGGAAUCAAGAGCAAGAGGCUAUAAAGAAAGAACACUCAGCAAUGUGAACGAGUCCUUAAAAGUGAAAAAUAAAAAAAAAUUUAAAAAGUGAAAAAUAUGAGAGGAAAAUGAACAAUUCAAUAGAGAGCUGAAAGAAACAGUUGAAAUCUUCCAGAAUGCAUAAAACAAAACCUGAUAGGUAGAGGAGAGAAAAUAUAAUCAGUCAGGGUGAGGAGUAUUCUCCAGUGCUUAGAACUGGCCUGGUACCUCAGCAGGCGCCAUAAUAGAGGAGGAUGGAUGAAGUGGUGAAUGGACUGGGACUUACCACCACUGCAGGGAGGUGGGGGACACAAGCACCACUUUCUGGUGGCAGUUUUCUCUUUGAAAUUUGACAGUGAUAUAUAAUAAGGCAUUCAGAGUGCUUGUGUGCUGGGCACUGUUCUCAUUACCUUACAAACAUGACCUGUGUGAUCUUUACAAUUCCAUGGAGCGGGUGCUGUUAUUAUCCCAUUUUUACAGAUGAGGAAGUAGGGGCACAAUAUCACAUGAAGAAGCCCAUGAAUGGCUCCAGCCCAUGAAUGGCUCCAGACAAUAUGUAGUAGUUAAGGGAAACCUUAACUACUACAUAUAGUGCCUCUCAAAAGAUAACUCCAAUAUCUAAGUAAUAAACGUUCCACAAAAUAAGGAGGGGGUGGGGAAAUAAGCAAAAACAAAAAGCAAACCGAAGAACUCCGCCCAAAACACAGAAAUAACAACACAAACAAAAAUCCCAAACAAAUAUUCCCAGUACCGAAGGCUUGGGAUCUCUGAACAAUAGAUGAAAGGGGAGGUUUUUUUUUUUAAACUAUUUUUUUUAACUUAUUUAUUCAUGAGAGACACACAGAGAGGCACAGGCAGAGGGAGAGGCAGGCUCCAUCCAGGGUCUCCAGGGUCACACCCUGGGCUGAAGGCGGCGCUAAACCGCUGAGCCACCCGGGCUGCCCAAAAGGGAAGUUUUUAAUCAAGAAACAUCAUUGUGAUGACCAAAAGAAGGGAGGGAUUGAAGGAGAGGGAGAGAAAUCACAAGGAUCGGAAUUCAGCAAGGCAUGGGAAUUCUUGGAACUAGAUGAAAAUCACACGAUAGCCUCAAAAUCCUGGCAAGAAAUAGUUUUCAAUGUAGGCAAACUUUUUUGCCUAGCUACACUAACGAGCAAAUGUGAGAGUAGACUAAGGAUGGGACGCCUGGGUGGCUCAGUAGUUGAGUGUGUCUGCCUUCGGCUCAGGGCAUGGUCCCAGGGUCCCUCGCAUCAGGCUUCCUGUAUGGAGCAUGCUUCUCCCUCUGCCUGUGUCUCUGCGUCUUUCUCUGUGUCUCUCAUGAAUAAAUAAAACCUUAAAAAAAAAGAGAGAGAGAGAGAGAGAGUAGACUAAGAACAAAUAGGCAGGCUCUGUAACUUCCCAUGCACCCUCUCUCAGGAAACCUGGAGGAUGUUCCUCCUCAAAUAGAAGGAGUGAAGGAAGAGGAAAGGGAGGAAUUCAGUGAAAGGAAAGAGGUGCUCCAGAUGGCUGGUGAAGGAGCUGACACCUGGGCCACAGGCCCAAGAAUAAGCAGCCUGGGGUAGGGAGAUGGAAUGGGGGCUGUGGGAAAAGAUGAAACUGGGUAAACAAUUAUGCAACGAAUCUCAAGUAUUGAGAGGUUCACAUUACUGCAAGAGAAUCUAAGAAUGAAUUAAUGACACGUGUAGAAAACUAAGCAAGCAAAAAGAAAAGCAAUUAUUAACUCCAGGCAAAACAAAAAGUUGUGCAAGAAAGCAAAUAUAACCCUAGGACACCUUGUUCUCUGCUGAGACCUGCAGUAAUGACACUGCAAUAAUAUAGACUACACUGGGAUGAUGCUGGGUCAGGAAACUGAGGCCAGUGACCCCUCCUCCUUUUCCAAGGACACUAGCAGGGGACACCUUAUGUAGAACAGCCAAAAAAAAGCAGUAAAAGCAUGUGUGGUUUGUGGAAGAUGGAUUUUACGUGCCUGAAUAAAUAGAAGUUAAAUUUGGGAAGGAUCGGAGUUCGAGACUACAUUAUUUAUUGUUGGCUUAGGAAAACCCAUUCCACUUUUUAAAUAAUAUGUAUAUGACUUUGAAAAGAUAAAAUGAAAAUCUUAACAUAAGCAUGAUUAAAUGAAGCAAUGAUAGUAUUGAUACUUUUGAGUUCAGUUUAAUCACGGGUACAAUCUGUUAUUGACACUCAUAUUGCUUAAGACGAUGACAUCAGGAUUUCCAACUAGAUGUGUAUGUUAUUGUGGAUUUAUUUAAGUUGAAAGAUGUGAGAAUAUGAGUAACGUUGUAGAAUAUUGGGAUGUUUAAGACACCUUGAGAUUCACUAUGUUUGUACAUUUGAUACACCUUGGUAACUUUUAUUUUGGUUUUUGGUUAGGAUAAUGUAGUAGGUGGAAAAAUGAUACCCUCUUUCCAAGGUGUCUAUGCCCUAACCCCCAGAACCUGUGAAUGUCAACUCUAUAUGGCAAAAGGGAUUCUGCAGAUAUGAUUAAGGACCUUGCAAUGGGGAGAUUAUUCUGGAUUAUUCAGGUGGACCCAACCUAAUUACAUGAAGCUUUCCUGGCUGCAGAAAACCAGACAGAUGGUUCAUGAGAAAGACUCAACCGGCUGUUGCUGGCUUUGAAGAUGGAGGAUGGGUACAUGAGCCAAGGAAUGGUGGAGCCUGUAGAGACCAAGAAUGACCUUCAGUUUACAGAGGGCAAGAAAAUGGGGACCUUGGCCCUAUCACCACAAGGAAAUGAAUUCCUGGCCAGUGCCCACGCCGUGCCUGACACCUGCAGGCCAACAGCCUGAUGGAGCAGGAAAUGGAAACCUAGGAAUUAGUUCUAGGUUCACCUAGAGCCUCCAGAAAGGAAUGCAGCCUUGCUAACACCUUGAGUUUAGUCUGAUGAGACCUGUACCAGACUUUUGACCUGCAGAACUACAAUAAAUCUGUGUUUUAAGCCACUAA